GAUGAACGCUGGCGGCGUGCCUAAUACAUGCAAGUCGAGCGAACGGACGAGAAGCUUGCUUCUCUGAUGUUAGCGGCGGACGGGUGAGUAACACGUGGAUAACCUACCUAUAAGACUGGGAUAACUUCGGGAAACCGGAGCUAAUCCCGGAUAAUAUUUUGAACCGCAUGGUUCAAAAGUAAAAGACGGUCUUGCUGUCACUUAUAGCUGGAUCCGCGCUGCAUUAGCUAGUUGGUAAGGUAACGGCUUACCAAGGCAACGAUGCAUAGCCGACCUGAGAGGCUGAUCGGCCACACUGGAACUGAGACACGGUCCAGACUCCUACGGGAGGCAGCAGUAGGGAAUCUUCCGCAAUGGGCGAAAGCCUGACGGAGCAACGCCGCGUGAGUGAUGAAGGUCUUCGGAUCGUAAAACUCUGUUAUUAGGGAAGAACAUAUGUGUAAGUAACUGUGCACAUCUUGACGGUACCUAAUCAGAAAGCCACGGCUAACUACGUG
rnacentral:rRNA from 1 species